rfam:Vigna radiata var. radiata cultivar VC1973A chromosome 4, whole genome shotgun sequence
UUGGUGGGGAUUGUGUGUAACAGUGUUGUGCUGUCAUAUUUUGCAUUACCCUGGAAGAGUUCCCUGAAAAACAAAUUUGGGGAAGAUGGGCAGUUUUGUUUCACUUUGAUGUGAAAAUAACAACAAUCAUCUCCGUCACAUUU